rnacentral:sRNA from 1 species
CAAGCUCUUGAGAAGAUUUGGGUGCUUCACAUGUGGUCGGUCUGCCGUCUUAUCACAAUUGGCCGGGAUCAAGCACCACACAUUCAUUAAACUUAUGAGUACCUUCUCUGGAACACACACAAUCUGGACUUCUAGAAAGCCCAACCGUUCUUAACGAGCUGCUUGAUGCGACUAACCGACAUGUACCAGAUAAUCUACUAGGAAACCUACGGAAUCCACGCAGCGGCAAAAACUGAGUUUGAAAAUCGGAGAGUAUGCUUUCACGAUUUUUAUAACGAAAAAGCAUGCAUACUUCCUGAAUAACCAGUAUUUUUAAAUAUUUAAGUGCAAAAGAACACGCAUGUUUCAAUAUUUAUAAAUGUAUCUGCAACUUCGACCCUGCCCUAAAAAUCCAAAUCAUCUCAAUUAACUGCGCCAGUUUCAGAUUCCUAAACCAAUCGAAGCUAGUCGAUUGAUCAAGCCGCCGCCCUAAACGAGACUUAACCAGAUUUCUGCCAUUACUUUUUACAUAUGGGUACAAAAAAACAAUGCCAUUUAGCCAAUGGUUACAAUAAAUUUGGUUUGUUCAUCUUAAGAA